AGUCUGAGGGAUCGGGAAAUUUACUCUGAAAUUCAUCUCACAGUUUUGAGGAGAUAUAUGAUUUCACAUUAAUUUUUUUAAGGCACUAUCCUGAUAUCUGCAUCACAAUAGUCUUCGGGAAUCAGGCAAGGAUAGAAUCAAGUAGGAUUGGUCAGGAGCCAGCCUCAGUCAGGUGAGAGAGAAGAUGGCUUGGACCAGGAAGCUGCUAUAAUGAGAAGAUGUAUCGAGGCUCUGAAGAGUUCUCUCUCAACAGGCUUUAUUCCUGUGCCUGACUCCCAAUCCUGGACAUCCAACCAUCAGAAGGGUUUGACUCUGCCUGGUGAAGCAUGCUGCCCAUGCUGGACCUGGACAGCUGGACAUCAAGACAACUGGUCGGUAUACUAAUGGCAG